AGCUCCAAUAGCGUAUAUUAAAGUUGUUGCAGUUAAAAAGCUCGUAGUUGGAUUUCUGGCAGGAGCGACCGGUCACGCACUCUGUGCGUGAACUUGCGUUGUCUCUGGCCAUCCUUGGGGAGAUCCUGUUUGGCAUUAAGUUGUCGGGCAGGGGAUACCCAUCGUUUACUGUGAAAAAAUUAGAGUGUUUAAAGCAGGCUUAUGCCGUUGAAUAUAUUAGCAUGGAAUAAUAAGAUAGGACUUUGGAACUAUUUUGUUGGUUUGCGUUACGAAGUAAUGAUUAAUAGGGACAGUUGGGGGUAUUCGUAUUUCGUUGUCAGAGGUGAAAUUCUUGGAUUUCCGAAAGACGAACUACUGCGAAAGCAUUUACCAAGGAUGUUUUCAUUA
rnacentral:rRNA from 1 species